AAGAUUCAAAUUCAUUCUAGUUCAAGAUCAUUUUAAAAUUCAAUUUUGAGGGAAAGGGUAUUUUUUUUAGAAUGCAAGUCACAUUUCCAUUCAAAGGCCGAUUUCAUUACAAAACCUUCAAACAUUUCAUCACAAAAGGUUCAAAAUUAAAAUCACAUAAUUUUACAUCAUUUGACGUAGAGUUGACUUUUGGUCAACUACUAACUUUUUGGUCAAAUAGUUGACCAAAGUUAACUACCUAUCCUAAACCCUAUCAUACUUAUUCUUCAUUCACAAGCCAUCCAUAUAAAGCCUUCAAGUUCUUCACAAUUUUUUCAUAUGCCAUAUACUUCUUCAUGAUUCACACCUUGAAUCCAUGUCAUGCCUUGUUCCAUGCCUUGCCAUUUGAUAACCCUUGUCGAAUUCCUCAUCAUCAUUGCCUUAUCUCAAACCUAGCAAUCCGUCUUGUAACAAUAGGAAGUAUUAACAUCAUUCAUAUACUCAAAAACAUGUUUCAUUAUAAUGCAUAUUCAUGUUGGUACUAGUAAGUUAAGGCUACCUACAAAUUAUGUAACAUACAUGUCAAGUACAAUACACCAACAUACAGAUUCAUGCAUAGCCAUACAAAAACCAAGAAUCAAGCCAUCUAUAAACCAAAACUUGGCAAUACUCAUUAUGUAAUCCAUACCAUGGUGACACCUACACAUAGCUGCAUUCAAAAUAACCUAACCAAUUUACUUUGACAUAACUUUUGAAAAUAACUCUAACACAAACAUUCCAUAACAAGUCUUGUACCAAUCAAACCAAUCAAGUAGCAUAACAAUCAAGUAUUAACACAACAGAGUCAAGUUAGACCAACAUCACGAAUUGCAUUAACAUUACACAUUGACAUUUCACACAUAGUUCAAGUACAAUUCAGGAAUUUAACUAAGUCUUAGUUGUUGAAGCCACAAGCGAGUAUGACUAACUGAGUCCAUUUUGGUUUGGCAGCUGCAUUAACCUAAACCAUAGACAACAAAGUAGUCAACUCAUACUUGAUUCUAUAACCUUUCAACAUAAUCAGUUGGCACAAUCACUAACAUUUCAUCCUAACCAAAUUAACACUCCAGCAGUUUAGGUUAACAACUAGUUGGUUGUUAAUUAGAUAGCUCCUCAUAAAUAUUUCACAAUGGCUCGAUUUGACUACUAGCUAUCACAAACUCCAACUGUAUCUUUUCUAAACAAUUAACAAUCAUGUUACUUCUAACUAAUAAACCUAAGUUUAACCCUUUGCUAACAGUACAAUUCAUUAUCAUCAAUUACAUUUGUCAACUAUUCUAACUACACAAAUAAACUAACUUCCAACUCAACUAACAAUCUAAAUUCCAUAAAUCUUUAAACUAAUCUUCAAUUCAAUUCUCAAUCUGUCAAAUAAGACUAACUAUUAACACCAUUCUACAACACCAUUUUAACAGUCACUUAUUAACUAAUCUUUAUUUUUUACUCCUAACAAUGCAACAAUUAUAGCCAAAUAAGCUAACAUAAAUAAUCUAACUUCAAGUCUAUUUCUUUAACAUUUUCCCUCCCAAUUCAUAUCAAGGAAUAAUAGCUUCAAUUUCGAAUGUAGAAGAGCAAAGUUAUUAAAAAACUAACUAAUUUUCACAUCAAGCUAACUCUAACAAUUCCCAACAUAACUAAUUUCACUUAACAAACUCACUAACUUCCAAUUCAACCUAACUGUCAACUUCAUUCAACUCAUCUAACAACACAACUCUAACAUAAUACUUCACUAACACCCAUGGCAUAGUCUAAACUAAAUUUCACUUAAUAAACUAACAAACUUCGUAUUCAAGCAAAUUCUAUCCACCUCUAUAGAGAGUUAACAAAGUUACAAACUCAUGACCACUUUUCUCUUGAAUCUAACUAACUGUAAUGAUUGCCAUAACACCUCUAAUAACCACUGCCCAAACGGACCUAAACAAUUACAAUAAUUCACUCUAUAUAAUCAUAAUUCAUCUUCAGUUUCAGGGGACAACAAUUAUUUUCUGUAUAUCCUUCUCUUUACAUCACUCUCCAAUUUAUCCCUCACACCAAAAGCUCAAUUUUGCCAUUGCUGGAGCAAGCUUAACAUUGAAGCUUGCCACCACAAAGCUUAGCCCCUACGUUAUGUUCUACACUCUUUACACAUACACAUUAUCAACAACAACAAAAUGAUCCUAAUUCCUAUAGACUAAGAAUAAGAAGAGAAAAUUGUUACAAAAGAAGUAAAAGGCUCGAAACAAGUACCUGAUACCUUUGGUAUUCUUUUUUCUCCAACUUCAACGUCUUCACCUUCAACAAGUUCCAAGGAAAAUCUUCGCCUUGGAGGUAAGUCCUCCAAAUUCCAUCUUUUUGAUUCAAACUCUCUACCAAUAUGUAGUGUAUAGGUCUCUGAACCAAAACCCUAAGGUUUGAGUUCAAAUUAAUGCUCCGCCUCCAUUUAAUUUCAUUUUCUUUGGCUUAGGGUUCUUAGGAUGUUAUUUCUAUUUGGAAAAUCUGAUUGAGUUUAGAAAGAAUUGAUGCUAGAAUUGAGGAAAGGAGGUUGAGAGGGUUACUAUGGUGGUACUAAUGAUUGUUUUGGCUCAUC
rnacentral:lncRNA from 1 species